GAGAUUUUAAAGAUUAUACAAGGAUUUCUCAAGAUGAAGAUGAUGAACAUUUUCAAGGGCGGCUAUAUAUUAGGACGAGUCUAUCAAAAUGAUGUACAUUAACCUAGUCAAGCAUAGAUUAGGGGGGUGUUAAGGAUUAAUUAAAAUCCUAAUAAUCCAUGCUUUAUGUCGGUUGUGUAGUUAGCAACCGUCUAAUUACUGCCUGUGCAGUUACCGUCUUGUACUGGGUAUAAAUACCCCAACAUUCAUCAAUGAGAAGACUGUUCAUUUUCAAUCAUUCGCUUCUCUCUCUCGUUUACUUUUAACA
rnacentral:lncRNA from 1 species